rnacentral:tRNA from 1 species
GAUGCGGUGGCCUAAUGGUUAGCACGUUGGACUUCGGAUCGAGCGGUCUGGGUUCUAGCCCCGGCCAGGGUCA